UACAGAGGGUGCAAGCGUUAAUCGGAAUUACUGGGCGUAAAGCGUGUGUAGGUGGUUAUGUAAGUUAGAUGUGAAAGCCCUGGGCUCAACCUGGGAAUUGCGUUUAAAACUGCUUAACUCGAGUAUUGUAGAGGAUAGUGGAAUUUCCAGUGUAGCGGUGAAAUGCGUAGAUAUUGGAAGGAACACCAGUGGCGAAGGCGACUAUCUGGACAAAUACUGACACUGAGACACGAAAGCGUGGGGAGCAAACAGG
rnacentral:rRNA from 1 species